GGGAGGCAGCAGUGGGGAAUAUUGGACAAUGGGCGAAAGCCUGAUCCAGCAAUGCCGCGUGAGUGAUGAAGGCCUUAGGGUUGUAAAGCUCUUUUACCCGGGAUGAUAAUGACAGUACCGGGAGAAUAAGCUCCGGCUAACUCCGUGCCAGCAGCCGCGGUAAUACGGAGGGAGCUAGCGUUGUUCGGAAUUACUGGGCGUAAAGCGCGCGUAGGCGGUUACUCAAGUCAGAGGUGAAAGCCCGGGGCUCAACCCCGGAACUGCCUUUGAAACUAGGUAACUAGAAUCUUGGAGAGGUCAGUGGAAUUCCGAGUGUAGAGGUGAAAUUCGUAGAUAUUCGGAAGAACACCAGUGGCGAAGGCGACUGACUGGACAAGUAUUGACGCUGAGGUGCGAAAGCGUGGGGAGCAAACAGGAUUAGAUACCCGCGUAC
rnacentral:rRNA from 1 species